UGAAACCGAUCAGGGGUAAACCUGAGAAACCCGAAAGGUCGAAUGGGGAAAUUCAUUCGCGUUUCGAUUGUCGGCGUUGAGCGGUUGCGUGACUGACGGCAAAACAUACGUUAGCACCUUCAGUUUUUCGAACCGACUUCGAACGCGUGCACUUUUCCCCUAGUAGGACGUCGCGAUCCGUUGGGUGUCGGUCUAAGGCCUGUGGUGGAGCUCGCGCAGACGUUUCGACGCUCUGCACGAACCCGCAGUGUCCCGAUCGACUCGCUCGACGGUAUAAAGAUGGCGCGGGGCCGCUACAUAGUUAGCGUUCGGCCUACGGCAAGCACGUACGGUGUUUGAUGGCGAUCAGACCUGGUCGGAUCCCGUCCCCGGACGACUGUUGGCACGUAGUGUUCUCGAACAGACCUCUUUGAAACGCCGAUCUGCGACGCUAAAGAAUUGGGUACUUUCAGGACCCGUCUUGAAACACGGA
rnacentral:rRNA from 1 species